rnacentral:tRNA from 2 species
CGGGGUGUGGCGCAGCUUGGUAGCGCGCGUCGUUCGGGACGACGAAGUCGCAGGUUCAAAUCCUGUCACCCCGA